AGAGUUUGAUCCUGGCUCAGGACGAACGCUGGCGGCGUGCUUAACACAUGCAAGUCGAACGAGAGGAGAAGAGAAGCUUGCUUCUUUUCAAAUCGAGUGGCAAACGGGUGAGUAACACGUAAACAACCUGCCUUCAGGAUGGGGACAACAGACGGAAACGACUGCUAAUACCGAAUACGCUCAGAGAGCCGCAUGGCUUUCUGAGGAAAGGGUGGCCUCUACCUGUAAGCUAUCGCCUGAAGAGGGGUUUGCGUCUGAUUAGGCAGUUGGUGAGGUAACGGCCCACCAAACCUACGAUCAGUAGCCGGUCUGAGAGGAUGAACGGCCACACUGGAACUGAGACACGGUCCAGACUCCUACGGGAGGCAGCAGUGGGGAAUCUUCCGCAAUGGGCGAAAGCCUGACGGAGCAACGCCGCGUGAGUGAUGACGGCCUUCGGGUUGUAAAGCUCUGUGAUCGGGGACGAACGGUUCGUGGGACAAUACCCCAUGGAAGUGACGGUACCCGAAUAGCAAGCCACGGCUAACUACGUGCCAGCAGCCGCGGUAAUACGUAGGUGGCAAGCGUUGUCCGGAAUUAUUGGGCGUAAAGCGCGCGCAGGCGGCUUCCUAAGUCCAUCUUAAAAGUGCGGGGCUUAACCCCGUGAUGGGAUGGAAACUGGGGAGCUGGAGUAUCGGAGAGGAAAGNGGAAUUCCUAGUGUAGCGGUGAAAUGCGUAGAGAUUAGGAAGAACACCGGUGGGCGAANNGACUUUCUGGACGANANUGACGCUGNANGC
rnacentral:rRNA from 1 species